AAUAUUAACACUUCCCACAUACAGACAAGAGGAAAAAGAAACUCUCUCAGCUUCCUUCGGUUACGCUCUCAAAAACCCUGAGAAAAAAGGCUUCAAUAAUGGCAUUCUCAAAGGCUUCAAUGGCUACGCUGAUGAUGGCCGUUGUCCUGGCCGCCUUGGCUCUCGCAGGGUCGGCUCAAGAUCUCUCUCCCGCUCCAGCUCCCGCUUCCGGAGCCGGCUCGAUCUCGCCUUCCUUCGCCGCCGCUGGUGUCGCUCUCCUUUCCGCUCUGGUGUUCGGCUCAGUUCUCAGGGUUUAAGAGGCCGGUUCUCUAUCUGAUUACGUGUCACUAGCUUAUUGGGCGUGUAGAGUGGUUUCUUCAUAUUUUUUUCUUCUUUUUUUGCGUUGUUUAGACGUUAUGUGGGCUCAGUAGCGGCGGAUCCACUGGGUUUUAGUCUUUUAGGGAGUGAGUCUUAUUACAUAUAAAUUUUAUAAUGAGAGAGAGUUAUCAGUUAUGCUUUGUAGCUCACGGAGAUGUGAUGAUAUGAUUUGAUUUAUGUUUGUUAUUUUGGAGACUUAUGAUUAUUAUCAGUAUAUAUUAAGCUAUUCCUUUUGUUGUUAUGUUAUAGAUCCUUCACUAUCCGCUUUUCUUUUAAUUUUUUACGUAAAAUCAAUUUAAUUUUAUUUCACUCGAAUCGCGUUCGCCGGACGACAGAAGAGGAAAUGCAUUUCCCACAAGAAUCGAAGAAAAGUAAAAGUAAUGCACUUGCAAACAGUAAUUCGUAUUUUCCCUAAACAAAAAAGUCCCAAGUGGCAAGGCAUAGCUGACACGUGUACUCAUUGGCUUCUGCACUCCCAUUCCCAUGUGCAAUUGUGCAAAAGGACAAAUGAGUGAGAGAAUUGGAGGAGAAGGGGAAUCUGUGCCCUUCACAUGAUCAACGGGAACACAUUUUUUUUUUUUUUUUGGCCUUUUUAAAUUAUUCCAAGUCUAAGUCAUCGGGUCUGUGGCACCUUCGUGAAAACAGAAAACAACAGGGGGAUCAAAUGUGCAAUGAUUCAAUUUGUUGGUUUAUAGGGGUAUAUCAUUACACUUGGCGAUGCCUUGGAAGAAGUCGCCAGGAUGAUGAUUUUUUAAAAGUUUAUGUUGUACAAGGCAGUCUUUGCGAAAUUGGCUCAUUCGGCCCAACUAUCCUUUUGUAAUCAAUGGCUAAGCGUGAUUUGGAACGUAUUUAUUUGACCGGUGAGCUGAGGUUAUUCUCCCUUUUCAUUCGCCCCCACCCAACCCCCCCACCUGGAGUUCACCAACAUUUGCUUAGCUUGUACGAAUAUUAUAGUUGGUUUGUGGACCCUACCACGUAAUUGUUGAUUCGCGUUUGCUUUGCCCUACAUAAUUAUACUAAAUCAAUAAUUCUAGAAAUAUAAACUCUUUAACAAGCAUUACUUAGUGCCUGUUUGGUAUGGCUUAUUUAAGAGCCAUAAGUGCUUAUUUAAUCGUAUAAGCGCUUUUUAAAAUUUUUUAUGGUGUUUGGUUAUUUUUUUAGUAGAGUUUUUUUAGCUUAAAUAAGUGAAUUUACCUCUACUAACAAAAGCCCAAAAUUUGAGCUUUUGGGAGUAGAGGUUAUAGAGCUUUUCUAAAAAUAUCUAAUAUAAAAAAUAUCACACAAUUUAAUGGUUCAAAAGUACUUUUUUUAUUGACAACCAAACACCCAAUGACUUUUUGUCCAAAAGCUCUAUUGGUAUAAGCUCUAGUGCUAUAAGCUCUACUGUUAUAAGCUCUAUUUAAUAAGCUGUACCAAACGGAGCCUUAUUCCAUUAAUGCAGUUUGAGAUGACAUUUUAUAUUAGGUUAUUGUUAUGUUGGAAUUCACAUACGGUAAAGUAUGAAUUUUAAUCACACGUAAAAUAAUAAAUAGUAAAAAAACUAAUUCAUUCUUUAUUAUUUAUCACUUUACGUAUAUGACUGAGAUUCACGCUAUACUAUAAGUGAACUCCAACAUAAUCGAACUCUUUAUAUUAUUAUUGCACGUUUUGUGCAACUGAUUUUUUUUUAACUUAAAAAAUAAUUGAUGUAGGUCUCGCCGUAUUAAUUUGCACAAUAAAAUUUGCAAAAAUAAUUUAUAUUAGUACUCUAUAUUUGUCCAGUAGCCAAUGAGCUUAUUCAUGAACUUCAGCUCAAGUGCUCAACCAUCUUGUAAUGUGCGAAAAUAACCUUGCUUUGUCUAUAAGCAAAGCUAGUGGCACACUCGUCACUCCCUACUUUAGACAGGUUAUACCAAGUUGGUAAAGUAGCUUUUAACUUGUUAACCAGGAAAAUGGACGUAGCCCACUACUGGGCCUAAAGCGUGACCAGCCCAGUCAACCAGCACCAAAAUAAAGCUGAAACAAAAGAAAAAUAUAAGCAAAACAAAAACAGGUGUUGGUGCCUGAUGCCUCUAUAAUGAUAAUAAUAAUAAUAAAAUAGCAGAGAGAGAGUGAAGAGAGAAGAUAUGGCUGAAAUUUUAUCCUUUCAUUCAUCUCAGAGGGAGGGACGAAAGGUAACGAUUUACAGGGUAGCAACAUUUUGUCAUAUUCUCAACAAACAAAAAACAACAGCUAUCAACAGCUAUUCAUCUUCCUCUUCCUCUACUCUGAGUCUGAGUCCAUGUUACCCAUAGCCUUCAAUCCUCUCGGUCUCUGCAUCAGAUUAGAUCCCCGAUACAAACAUUAUGCUCCAUUAAUUUUUAAUGAAAAUGCUUCUCCAAUUGGGGAGUUGUAAUACAAAAAGUACCUUCUUGGAGAUUUUCUUCUCUCUAACUUCAUAACGUUCAAGGGUCAGGUCACAUAGCCAUGCACCAGGACUUACCAGCUGCAAAGAAAAACAUAAACUCAAUGCAACUUUGGCCUUUAAUUUCAGAUUUUGAUUUUGAUUGGGAAGCAAUAAAGAGAGAUUCCUGUGCUUUUUUAAAACAGUUAUGAUUUCAAUUAAUUUGUAAAAAAAAAUAAUUCUACCAUAAGCAAGAAGAUACUUGCAACUUCAAAAAGAAAAAAACUACUUGCAAAAAGAAUCGUCUACAAGUCGUGCGUUUAAGAAAAUUAUGGACGAAAAAUUUCGUGCAAUCUUUGCUUUCCACGCACUGUCAGUGUGGUCCAGCUUGGAGGACCACUACAAGAGUCACGAAACCACCUCCAUUGUUUAUUAUAAAUUAUUCUUAAAUAUUAUUUCAAUAAAGAGAAAAUUAAUCAUUAAAAACUAUUAGAGACAAGAAAAGUUAAUUCACCAAAAAGCAAUGUCCAUAUUACGGAAAUGCCCCACAAUAAUGGGCAAAGGGCCCAUCCGCUUCCGUCGGUUAAACUUUUACGAAGAAUAUUAUUACCUUUGGUGAGUAUUUGGCCCUUACUUCGUUGAUAAGUUUUAGUGUUGUCUAUUGAAUCGCUAUCGUACACGUGUUGCAGAUUGAUCCCUCCAUCUCAAUCUGAAACACUCAUAAUUUUUAAAAGUUCAAACCAAGAGAAAAAUACAGUUUCCAGCUCCGUACUACCACGUCCUUGUUGACCCCACGUACCACGUUUAAGGCAUUCUGUUACCCCUCAGAUUCUUGUAAAAUGAUAAACCCACGAAUGAUUUUAUAAUUUAUACAAAUUAAUAACGGAUAAAAAUUAGCUAAAAAUAAUAAUAAUAAUUAAUUUUUAAUUAUAUAAACCCAUAAUAAUUUUAUAUAACUAAUUCCCUCACGUCACUUCGAUUUAUAUACACUUACUCAUAGAAGGUAAUUAUAACUCUAUUAUUACUCAUUUUUAUAUAUCCAACAUUUUCAACGCUUUCUUUAAAAAAAAAAAAAAAGAACUCCCCGUAGCCAAGAAAAGUAAAAUAAAUUCAAAAUUGCGGUAUUACCGUGAUAAUCUCUUACGGUAAAAUCUUGACUUAAGUAACUCUUAUUGGUCGUAAGAAUAUUUGAUUUUGAUAAAUUGGAACAUCAACAUCAAAAAAAUCAAAAACAGAAAAAACUUAAUGACAACUCAAUUGUCUCUUGUUAUUCAAUUAUCUCCCCCACGAAGUAAAGUAUGAAUUACUACAUUACGGAAUGCCACAUUAUUUAGAAUAAUUUUUAAAAACAAAAGAUUUAAAAUAUGUACCAUUACUUUAAUGAAAUUUUCCGACUAAAUCAAGAGAAAUUUGAUUAUCAAAGCACAAAACUCGGGCAAGGGUAAUAUUCCCACCCCAGAUUUUUGUUAAUUUAUUCUACAUCCCGCACCCAAACCAGGACUCGGUCACUGGGAGGCUAACGUUACUACAGGUCAUUUUUAGGUACACGUCCACGCCUUUACCGACACGUGGACAUGUAUAUCUCACUUGUCACUUUACACACAGCCCUAUUUUUAAGCCAAAACAAAAAUUGAAGAUUAAUAAAAAAAUAAUAAUAAAGUAGAUCAUAGUUUCACAUAAAUCAGGGUCCGACCCAGCAACCAUAUUUGUAGUAACAGCUACAUUCUUAAAAACCGUGUCCCAUCCCAAAAUAUCAUCAAAAGGCCGCAAGAGAUCUAUUGUACCUUGUGCUCCUAAAUGUUGUACCCCAAUAAAAUAUUCCUACAGAUGAUUAUUCACGAUAAUUAAAUUGCAACUAGAAUCAAAUUCAUUAAAUCUAAAUUCUAAAAUAACUAAAACAACAUCGUAGAUAAGUCUAGAUAUCAUGAAAGAUUAAACAAGGAAAGAAUAAGAAAAGCUUACAUUGACUGUGCGUUGAAUAAACUUUGCUCUCUUUUUGGGUCUCUGUGGCAGCUUAGACCCUUUAAUGGCCAUGAAAUCUUCCUCUUUCUCUUUGUUGGUUAAAGCAAUCACAAAUUUCGGGGGCCACACGGGUGGCGCCGCCUCGCCACUAGCGGAAGAGGAUCCACCUUUCUUGCUAUCAUGAGCUGUUUCCGAUGAUGCCCCUGAUUUGUUAUAAUCAUUGUUGUGGUGGUUGUGAUUGUUGUUACGGGUACCUCUCUUAUCGUGCGCACCCCUAUCUGGUGAAGCAAAACCUCUCACACCACCGUUGCUUUGGCCUCUCAUGGCACUUGAAUUCUCAGAGUUCCUAACAAACAAUACACACAUAACAACCCAUCAAUUAACUGGACAUAACAUGUGAAAUAAAAAUGAAAUUUAAUACAGUUAGUAGAGUGCUAUGGAAAAAGUGAAAAAAGUGAUGUGCUGAAGUGAAUUUUGAUGUAAGUACGAAAAUAGCCUUGGGAGUGAUCUAGUAAAGUCGGGCUAAAUUUGAGAAGAAAGUCAUAUACGGUGGGUUCUUUUUUCUUUUGGCUUCUUUGGAGAGACUUUGGAUUGCGCUUUUUAAAUAAAUAGGAAGUGUUGUUAUUUGCUAACUUUGGCUGCCAUGAGAAAAAUAGUUUUGAUUCUAAUCUCGAUCUAACGAGCACAGCUGGUCUUAUGGGCGGUUUGUAGGCCGUUGGAUUCAUUUUCCUUUUCUAAGGUAUGGGCUACGUGUUGAUGGAUGGGUUGGUAUGUAGGAUAAAGUGGACCAGAUUCCUAAUACAAUUGCAAUCGACGGCUGAAAAUUUGUUGAGAUUAGACUUGGGUAUCAUUGGACACGUGGCAGGAACUUGCUAAUUCCAUGUUUCCUAGUUCCAAGUUCCAACGAGUCCACCAUGUGAGGACGCUUUGGCAGCGUUAUAGGCUAAAAUCAGGCGUGAUGAACUCAAGACAAGUUGGCUACCCUCUAGGCAAAUGCAAAAGGUCAAGAGUAGCACAAUUGAGUAAGAAGAGUAGUUUGAUUAGGAAUGCUAAUCAACCUAAUCUUCUUUUGCACAACUUUGAACAAAAUCAGUCCAAUAAGAUUGCAAUAUAGAAAAAGAAAAGAAUAAAACAUAAAUUGUGAGACUUAACUAUCUUCAAAUCAUCACUAUUCAAAAUCUCAAAUUACCCACAUUUUUAUUCAAAAAAAUAAAGGAAAAAUGUGAGUUGAUCAGUUUAUUUUUAUCUUCUACAAAAGAAGCAAAUUGAGAUUUUAAAAAAUAAAAAGAUGAUCUAAAGAAUGUCAAUUCAUAAGGAGAACAAUAAAAAAAAACCCAUAUAAAACUACAAUUAGCAGCUGCAAAUCAGUCAAGUAACAAAGCAAAGAUUACGGCCAAUUUCCCAAUUAAGAAUGUAAACGUAAUAUUGGGAGAAUGCACCAUCUAAAACUCCACCAAUUAUAUGCUAAAAUCUAGAAACUAAUCAAAUUUAUAAAUAAAUGAAACUAUCCCCAAAUCUCAAGUGCAUUAUCUAUAGAUCACACACUUCAAACUCGACUAUUAGAUUCUAAGGAUCGUGAAAUGACAUGAGCAACCCACUUUAGCAAGACUCAAAUCCUAGAAACUAAAGCAAUAGUAAAUAUAAGGACACCCUGACCUUAUGAACUCACCAUCAGGCAUCAGCUCUCCUGAGUUCUGAUUUGCACCAACCUGACCAAUUAGUGAAUGGACAAGUAUAAGCCUCAUAAGUAAGUACUCAGCCCGGAUUUUGGAAGUUUAAAAGUUCAUCUUGUAAUGAACAAGUAGAUCCAACUAACCUCCACUUCAGCAAAAGCAAAAUAAUUUGAUGCUGAAAUGUUAUUAGGCAUCAAGAUUCAGACGCCAGCUCGGUAUUCAUAUGAUAUUAUCUAUUCCUGGAACAGUCCACUCCACUACCAGAAAUAGACAAAUGUAUCAAACCAUAGUACAAUACCAAGGGACAUACUAUCCCAGACUAUGAACUAAUUAUUUCCAAUUUUAUAAAAACAAGCAUAAAGGCUGCAAUUGGAAUUUAAAAUAUAAUAAUAAUAUCAGCAGAAAUGCAGAAUGACUCCGGGCUUACUGAUAUUACACAAACUAAUUAUGUCGACAAUGACCAUGUACCAACAGCUACUAAUGACUAAAGGUGAUCCAAAUUCAUGCUAUUACUGAAAAGGGCAACUAUCUUUCUUCAACAUUAAUUUAACAUAAACACCAAUUCAAUUGAAGAAGAAAAUAGAAUUCAGCACGGUAAAACAUAUUUCUUGCGGCAGAAAACCAUUAAUUAAAGAUAAAGGGUAAAAAGGGGCCCAUCAAAGAGAGCAGAUCGAAAUCUUUUUCCGCGCCAAUGUGGAUUAUAGAAAUCGAACAAUAAAGGAGCUAACACUAAACUGCGAACACGGACACAAAGCGCGUCACGGGCCCACGCGCAACCCAUUCAAUUAUCUAAACGUCAUACACCCAACACUACAGUUGCCUCGCAAACACCAGCGAAGGUUCAGGCUCAGGCCCUCAGCGCGAACAACCCCACAGCUAAAAACAAGAUCCACCAUCUCAGCCGACAGUGUUUAAUACGCGCCGUAAGCAUAAGCAUACAAAUCUCUGUAUUUAUUCAAACAUAAAAUCAAACAAACGAUGAUACAGAGUUAUUACCUGAGCACACGCUGAGGUGGCGGUGGCGGUGGCGGAGGCGGAGAUGGCCGUCGACGGAGAUUAAAAUAACCGUUACCAAUAUUAUGGUUAGCGGUGGCAGUACUCGGCUGAUUGGACGUGUCUUUGUCGGUUCUUACGACUCGAACCGUCGUCCGAUGGGCCGAAGCGGACGAAUCGUCUUUGACUUGAACUUUCAUGCACCGGAGUCGCUUCCUGUUCCCCCACUGUAAGACGAAAUCAGACGACGCCGUUUGCCUAGUGUUGAUCUCUGAGCUAGCUCUUAAUAAUCCCCCAUCUUUGCAAGUGCUCCCAUUAUUACCGCUUCUCAACAAGUCCUUAUCCAUCUCCUUUCGCAAACCUGUCCCAUUCAGAUGAGUUAAUUACAAUUACUCAUCCUAAAUUACGGUUAACUUCCAGAAUUAUACUAAAAAAGAAAAACAAAAUGAACAAUUUGGAUACGGCUUCGGCUUUCCGGCAAAUUCCACGCCAUUUAAAACGAAUGAUUAAAAUUAAAAUUUUAAAGUAACGGUUACGAAUUUUCCCAAAUUUUGAGAAGAAAAGUAGGCUUACCAUAAGAAUCACAUAUAUUAAAAUGCAACAAAAAUAUUGAAUACUGAGGAAGACCGAAGACUGGAAGAGGAAGAUCCGACAGCCAAGGAUUUUUCAAAAUGAAAAAAUGCAGAAUUCUCCACCGAGUGAUGCUGUAAUAGUCAUCAGCAGUGAAAAUGAGAAUUUUAAUUCAAAAAUAGAGCACAGACGUACUCACUCCAGAGGAUCUGACGAAGAAUACGCAUAGAAAACGGAGAAAAAAUUUCUCAAGCUCCAUGCUUUUGCUCGGCUGCCGAGAAAAUGUUCGAAAAAGAAAAUAAAGAAGGAUCGUGAAUUGCAACAAUCAGAACCAAUUCGUUGGUUCUAGAGAUCAAUUCGAGAAUGGAAAGAAGUUCUGAGAUGUUAUUUUUCUCUCUGCUUUCUUUCUCAGUAACCAAACGUAGGUAAUUUGAGAAAAAUCUGAGAAGCAGCCACAGCUAAAACUCAAAAUAAGACGAGACUGACAAAAAUUUUAAAGCUCGAAUAAGACGAGACUGAGAGAUGGUCAAAAGAACAAAAAUCAAAACGAAAAAAUAUUUCAUCAAUAACAAGUCAAGAUUUUCAUGGAACUGAAAUUUCUUGCAGACGCUAAUGAUGAAUUCUCGCCAGAGCCAAACAGCUGAAAAAACGAGAAUCGGAGUCGAACUUAAGUAUAAGCUUCGUAAUAAGAAGCAAGUGGAAACCGAUUCAAAACUGAAAUGAAAGAGAACCGGUCCCCAGUUAAAUCGACGAGAUGAAAAUCGAUAUGCUUGUUUUUUAUACCUCCAAUAUCUCAAAUUCGCCGAUAUUUUGCUUCUUUCAGUCGGCAGAAUACAAAUCGAAUGUAUAUCAGCUUCUCAACGAAAUGAUUGGCAUUUCAAAGACUUGAAAAUCUCCUGCUCUAAUGAGAGAUUAUGAUCUUCCCCUUACAGAAAUUUCUCUAUUCUCUUAAGAAAUGUAUCUGCAAAAUAAAUAAAAUGAUUAUAUCAGAGGAUGAAUUAUACGGAAUUAACACUAAGCCAACUGAACCAUGUCGUCUUUUGUCAUUUUGAAUUUGUCUGUAAACUAAAGCAUGAACCAAACAACAAUUAUACCGGCCAAAUUUUUUAAAUUGAUCUUAAUAAUGAAAAACAAAAGUGUGUUGGUAAUACACACCUCUAAAUCUCCUCUCUCUCUCUCUCUAUUGGAUUCAGAUUCUCAACAUUCCGUUAUCAAAUUCUCGUCAAUUCUCAGCCAAAGUAGUCUGUUUGGCUUCUGAGAAAACGAAAGAAAGUGAAUGAAAAUUCGCAGAGAAACCAGAGAGAGAACAAAGAACACAAACAAAGUGCUCUCCUUCCUUCUUCUGAUAAACGAAAUUCUCUCUCCCUUUUAAAACCAGUUUUAUACCCCUCAUUCAUACUCUCGGUUCCACACCGAGCAUUCGUGACCAUCAAUCAGCAAUCAAACGGUCCCGAUUACUCCUCCUUUGAACCGUCGACUCCCGUCUAUCAUCAAGUUAGCAUGCGCCCGUGGCAAAUUUUUAUCACCUCACGGACUUCAUCAAUCUAACGGAAUCUUUAACGACGUUGAAUUUUUGUUGAAUUAUAUCAUUAUUUAUUCUGAUAUGUUUUCUAUUAUUUUAUUGUUGCAAUUUUAUUUUUUUUAAUGCCGGUGUGGUGGCGCUUAUUAUUAGAGAGUAUUGAGUUACAUUCAAUAAGGUUAGUUAAUCACGUGACUGAUCAAACCACGGUUAUUUUUUUAUUAUUAGUUUAUUGUUGAAUUUUUUUUUUUCAAGCCGGCGUGGGGGCGCUCAUUAUUAGAGCAUCGCAGUACCAGUUGGGUUAGUUAAUCACGUGAGUGAACUAACCAUGGUUUAAUUUUAACCAGACCUCUGAGUCUAGCGAUAGGUAUAAGGGCAAUUUUGGUAUUUUAUCGCGAUAAAUAACAUUUAAACAACAAUAAUAAAAUGACCUGCACGUGUUCUAAUGUUCUCUUACCUUAUUUUAUUUUUAAUGACGCAGUCAUUAUUCACGGUGGUCAUUUAUAAUAAUUUUGUCAUUUUUCUAAUGCUAAGGUCAUUUUUAUAGGUAAUGUAGUUGCUUUAAUUUUUAAUGGUCAUUUUUGGUGGUAUAUACAUUUUUAUUAAUCGGACCAUUUUAGUGAUAUGAUCUCAAAGUUGCUUUCGAUUUUUUAAUGUGUUCGCUUAAAAUGGAGUAAUGAUACAUUUAUAAAUUUUUAUAUUAAUUAUUUUAUAUUAAUUUUGUAAUAUAAUUGGUUGAAUGAAACCAACACAUUGUCCACAUGAUUUAUCUUUAUUAUCUUAUAUCUUCACUCAACCAAUGAUGUUAUACCAUAUCAAUUUGUAUAAAAAUUGCUUAUAUAAGAAUUUAUAACUCUAUUAUUAUUCUUUAAAGUUACAUUUUAAUGUCUUUAAUUUUUUAUUUUCUUGGCAAUGAUCCCGUGGUAAGAUUGGUCAAUCACUCUUCUCCUUAAUAUUAAAGUGGAGAGUUUGAGUAUUCUCAUGUAGUUGUGAGAGUAUAAUAUGUUUGGACUUUUAUUGUAUUAAAAAAAAUUUCCUUCAAUUAAAAAAAAUAUAUAUUUUCCUCAAAAAUUGAAAGGGAUGCAUGCAUUUUUCAACGAGACAUUUUUUUAUAAAAUCCCUUAACAAAUACACAAACUUUGCAAAUUAAUUGCGUAUAAGAUCGAAGUUAAAAAAUAAAUAACUAAAUAAAAUUGUUUAAUGUUACAAAUGCAAAUAUACUUCUUGUCUUUGAUCUUAUUAUGUUAAUUUAUAUUUUAACACUUUAUUAUGCAGCAACGGCCCGACUAUCUAAUAAAAAGGGCAAAUAACCUUAUAUUCAUAGUAUUUGUACUGAGCUAUUCUGGAUAGUUAUGAGAAGCAUCUACUGUUAUUGAAGCAAGAUUUCAAGAUUGGUCAUGUUUCUAAUUGGAAAAUGUAUGAUUCUAAAGAGUGUAAUACUGCGUUUAGACUUUAUUUUUCUUUCCUUCAAUUAAAAAAGAAAAAAAAAGAUUGUUUUCCUCAAAAAGUGAAAGGGAAACAUACAUUUUCCAAUUAAAUAUUUUUAUAAAAUCCCUCAAGGUCUUAACAAGUACACAAACUUUAGCAAAUAAAAUUGUUUAAUGGUACAAAUGCAUAUAUAGUUCUUGUCUUUGAUCUUAUUAUGUUAAUUCAUAUUUUUUAACAUUUAAUUAUGCAUCAAAGGCUUCACUAUCUAGUAACAAGGACAAAUAACCUCGUAUUCAUUGUAUUUGUAUUAAGCUAUUUUGAAUAAUUAUAAGAAGUAUCUAUUGUUAAUUUAGUAAGAUUUCAAGAUUGACCAUGUUUCUAAAAAUUAUAAUAGAGCAGUUGAUGCUUUGGUUAAAAAUCACAUUUAGGUAUUAUUAUUAUUAUCUUAUACAGGUGAAGAUUUUCUACAACAUUUAACUUGUUUAUUUUGAAAUUUUGUCUUGCAAUAAUGAGAAUCUAUUUGGGGAAAAAAAACACCUUGUAUUUAACUUGUAUUUUUUUUUUUCCAUUUUUGGAUGAGUUGUUAGAUUUGAAACAAUCUAAUUUAACGAGCAUGGAUGAAAAGAGUAAAUACAUUAUUGAAGUGGGUUACCGUCUUAGUCGGUCAAGCAUAUAUCUUUAUUAUUAUUAUUAUUAUUAUUAUUAUUAUUAUUAGAGUUAUUAUCGUUUUACUACUUCAAAAAUUACCAAAUAUCAAAUGAUUAUAACAAGUAUUAUCUCCUAUCAUUUUCUUAUUAUAUCUUUAUAAAAAUAUCAUUUUACUACUUUUCCAUUACAACCGUUAGUUGACCCGUUAGUUAACCAGUUAGUUGACUAACAAAAUACUAAUUUUACCCUUCAUAAUUAAAAAAUAAUAAUAAGAUAAAUUUGUAAUCCAUAUAUCAUAAUUCUAACUAAAAUAAUUAUGCUGGUAUUUUAUAUCCAUUUUAAUAAAUAUAUUACAAAUUUAUUUUAUAAAUAAGUUUUUCAAGUAUUUUUUUUAAUCAUAAAUGAUGAAAUUAAUAUUUUGUUAGUCAACUAAUGGUUAUAAUGGAAACGUAGUAAAAUAAUAUUUUUAUAAAGAUAUAAUAAGAAAAUAAUAAAAGAUAAUACUUAUUGUAGUCAUUUGAUAUUUGAUAAUUUUUUAAGUAAUAAAAUAAUAAUAACUCUUAUUAUUAUUAUUAUUAUAUUGGAGCAUAGGAUCAUAGAUCUUAAAGUUUGAUUUUUAUUAAUCCAAUUUCUGCAACGUUUGUUGCAAGGCUCUGCGAUAUCAAUAGAUAAAAUGCUUGAUUCGUACGUCCUUUUUUUUUUUUUUUUCCGCUUACAGUACUGCAGAAGUAGUUUCCUCAACUGUUCUGGCUGUCUCUCUUAACCUCACGGUGUUUCCUUUGCCAAUUUGCUCUUUUAUUUACGGUCGAUUCUGUCACUUUCUCCAUUAACUAGCAUCACGUGGCUAUUUUUGGGCCUUUGGAUUUGUGCUUCAAAUUCAACGGCUUUGACGUGGCCUAUGCAACAAUGCCUAAAAUAAUGUCGGUGUGUGGUCAAUUUGUCACCUUAUCUAGUCCAUGUAGUAUGUACAAGAGCUGAUCACUUGACGGAAAAUAAAGAGAUUGUUCAUUCAUUUGUUAUGGCCAUCCAAGUAAUUUCCUUGAAAGCCAAUUAGGCAAUAAUUUUUUUUAAUGAGUGUUCAAAAUAAUUUUAAAGUGUCAAAAUAUAAAUAUAUUUAUAAAGUUAGAAUAUAAAAUUUGAAUUUCAAUUAAUAUGAUAGUAAAUACAAAUUCACUAUCUUAUAUAUCUAUCUAUCUAUAUCUAUAUAUCUAUCUAUCUAUAUAAAGUUGGGACUUGAGUAGGUGAUGUGGCAUCACCAUUUCUUAUCUUUGUAUAUUCUCUAUUAUCUAAUAAAUAGAGAAAUUUUUCUUUUAGAUUUGACUUUUCAUCUUCUCAUAAUUAAUUUGAUUAUUAUUACACAAUAACAAUUAUGUAAAAAUUUUAAUGAGACAUAUUCUUUGUAAUGAACAUCCAAGGGGAGUGUUAUGAAUUGAUUAAAAUAAAUAUAGAUGUUCAUAACAUAUAUCUCUUAGUCUCCUUACUAUCUCCCAUUAACAACCUUUAGCUUCCCUAUAACUCCCACUAUCUCACAAGGAAUUAUGAUCCAUAAUUUUUCAUUAAUUUCAUGAAGUGAUUAUGUAACUAUAAAAAGAAAGCUCAUCUUUUUGUUUUGUACACACACAAUUGGAAUGAAUAAAAUCACUCUAUAAUAUAUUCUCUCAUUUUAUUUUUUAUCUUGUGUUACUUCUUUAUUUGUAUUGUUGGCUAAUAGCUUUUUUUGUUUUUUAUAAGGUUGCCUCAUCUUAAAAAAAAUCAAUUCAUAUUUUUUAUCAGUUUCAGCAAGUGUAAAGUAAGAAAAAAUGAUCAUACUAAAUUCUUUUUUCAAAACCGCGUGAAAACGCGGUUCUAUUUUCUAUAUAUAUAUAAAGUUGGGACUUGAGGAGGUGAUGUGGCGUCACCAUUUCUCAUAUUUGUGUAUUCUCUAUUAUCUAAUAAAUAGAGAAAUUUUAUUUUAGAUUUGACUUUUCAUCUUCUCAUAAUUAAUUUGAUUGUUAUUACACAAUGACAAUUAUGUAAAGAUUUUAAUGAAGCAUAUUCUUUGUAAUGAACAUCCAAGGGGAAAUGUUAUGAAUUUAUUAAAAUAAAUGUAGAUGUUCAUAACAUAUAUCUCUUAGUCUCCCCACUAUCUCCCAUUAACAACCUUUAGCUUCCCUAUAACUCCCACUAUCUCACAAUGAAUUAUGAUCCAUAAUUUUUCAUUAAUUUCAUGGAGUGAUUAUGUAACUAUAAAAGGAGAGCUCAUCUUUUUGUUUUGUACACACACAAUUGGAAUGAAUAAAAUCACUCUAUAAUAUAUUCUCUCAUUUUAUUAUUUAUCUUGCGUUGCUUCUUUAUUUGUAUUGCUAGCUAAUAGCUUUUUUUAUUUUUUAUAAGGCUGACUCAUCUUUAAAAAAAAUCAAUUCAUAUUUUUUAUCAGUUUCAUCAAGUGUAAAGUAAGAAAAAAUGAUCCUACUAAAUUCUUUUUUUAAAGCAGCGUAAAGCGCGGUUCUAUUUUAUAGUUAAGAUAAUAAUUGAUAAGAAUUAAUAAGGAAAAUUGUCAAUUUUCUUACACUGAAAUCAAUAUCUAUCACUUACUCCCUAUUAUUUUCAUAAUACCUAAUAACUCCCUGGUACUAUAAUUUUACAAUAUAAUCCUUAUUUUCAAGUACACUUUAUUGAUUUAACUAUAAACUGAAUAAAUCAUAUAAAUUGAAAAUAGAAUAAAAGAUUUAAAUACUAAAAAUAAGAAAUAUAAGUUUAAGUAUGAAUAAAAAAUUAAUAAUAAGAUAUUUUUUUUAUACUUUUUGUUAAUUUAAAAAAAAUUCUAAUAACCAUUAUUUAAUAUUUUAAGAUAAAAUAUCAAAUAAAUAACUCAUUUAUAUCUAUUUUCGCUUAAAUUUUUGUGCUCACAGAUCUUUGAAUACUAUAAAUAUAAUUGAAAACAAGUGAUAUAUAUUGAUUUAAAUAAGCAGAAAAUUGCCAAACUCUGAGUUAAUAAUCCAUUAUCAAAUGACCUCACGAAAUAAAAUCAUAUCAUCUACCACAUCAUCACUUUGAAUGCAAACUUUAUAUUGCCCCCAUGUAAGCUUAUUACUUAUUAUAAUUGUUUAUAAUACCUCUACAAGCUCAUGAAUGAUAAAAAGUCAUAUGUAAUGAAUAAAGUUGAGAUUUUGAAAGUUCAAAGCAUCAAAUUUUAUUCCUAAAGCCUAAGUGAUCAUUUGCUUAAUCAAUAACACCAUGUAUCGCGCAUGUUUUUUUUUUAUUAAACUUAAAAAUAACAUUUUUUUCUAAAAUUAUUAAUACGUACUAAUAUUUACAUCAUAUAUUGGAUAUAUGCUCUACUCAAUACUCACCAUUUAAUAGAAUAGAAGCUUAUUUUUACUCAAUUUUUAAUUGGGAAUAAAAGUCUUUUCUGGUGACUUAAAUUACAGCUCUUAGACAUCUGUUCUACAUUUAAUUAACAGGAGAGAUUCUAAUAUAUACCCAAUUUUUAAUUAGAAGAAGAAAUAGAAAUCUGCUAUAAGAACUUAAAUCGCAGCUCUCACAAUGGUUACUUGUGAGAGUUGCAGUUUACCACUCAACUAUUUUAACAGAGUGCUUUGAAAAUACCAUCUGAUAUAUCUAACACAAAGAACUUAAUAUAAUACACGCUGUCAUACAUGUUAUGGCAUGCGUGGCAAGCUCCCAUUAAGGAAGCUCUACUGUAGCUCCAAGGCCCCUAAUAAGAACUCAUCAUUAACAUACUAGCCAAUCGCACACUAUAAUAACGUACGCGAGGGCGUGCAGAAGAUCAGCUUGCUUUAAAAUUGUUCAUAACAACAACAAUACUUUAUGAGAUUACAAUCACAUAAAAAGACAAGCCAAAACAAAACAAAACAAGACCGACAUGAAAGUAAUGUCGGUGUUCCGAUUACUUAGACCGCUCUAUAUUACGAUUUAUAGAUUAUGUAAAUCUGUAUUAAAGGGGAAAAUAAAGGGAAAAAAAGAAAAGAAAUGGUCUAUGUAGUACUAUCUAAAGGUCUAUAUCAAUCACUAAUGGUCUUUGAUUCAAUGAAAGAAAUCUUGUACUUAUAAUGUCAAGUGCAAAGAUUCGAGUUUUCAUAAGAGCAUUAUGAAAGUUAGUUUCAGUUUUUUCUUAAUUAUCAACUAAUUGAGUGGAGAUAGUCUAUUCCUUACAAAAUAUGAGUGAAGUAGGUAUCCAUCGAAUAUUAGAGAGUGUUUAAAGUAUUUGGACAAAUAUUUUAGUGGGUUAAUGUAUAAUGAUGAUCCCCGUAGUUUAGUAUGAUUAUAAAUAUAAUAAUUAUAAUAUUUAAUGUAAUAUCAGUAACAAUAUCUAUAUAACAUAAUAAAAAAAAAAGUUCUAUAUCAAUCAAUGGGACGAUAUUUAUUUAAUCCAGAUAAAAACGGAUUCAAAAAGUUGAGGUCAAAGGCAUAAACAUCCUUCAUAUCUAAGAUUUCAUUGGCCUCGAAUGGAGGACAUUAUUGUCAAAUCAAAUUGUCCCUACAAGCACUAAUCGAUCAGGUUAGGGUUUCGCUCUUACUCUGAAUUGACGAAACGAAGAAUCACCGAGUUAAGGGGAAAGAAGAUAACACUAAAUCAAUCAGAUAUCACGUUUCAUAUCAACCGAUUAAUCACUGGUGCGUUUUGUUUUCUUUCCAAUUGUUCUAUUCUCGUGCUUUUAUUUGUGAGAUUUUUUUUUCUCCGAUCGAAAUAUCAUAUGCAUCGGGAUCUUGAAAUUCAAGAUCUAUAAAUUCAUUUUUGCUGAAGAUUGAGAAUUGUUUUGUAUUUUCCUUAGAUGUAUAACGGAAUCGGCUUACAGACCCCGAGGGGGUCCGGAACCAACGGAUACAUACAAACGAACAAGUUUUUUGUGAAGGCCAAAACAGGUCGGGUUACAGACAGCGUCAAGGGAUUCGAAGCGGGUCAGGGAACGGCUGGAGUCACCAGAAAACCGAACCAGGAGAUCCUCGAGCAUGAGCGUAAGCGCCAGAUUCAACUCAAAUUGGUGGUGCUCGAAGACAAACUCGUUGAUCAGGGUUACACUGAGGCUGAAAUCGCUGAGAAGCUUGAGGAGGCUCGUAAGACUCUUGAAGUUGCCUCAGCUUCAGCGGAAAGUGGUGGGCAUGCCGCUGAUGCAAAGUAAGUAAUUCUUGCUAUGAAUAAUAAGAUACAUACAAAUUUUCAUUCUUGAGGUGACAUGAUAUGAUUGGAAGAGUGAAAAAUAACAAGUACAGUUCAAGUACUCAUACCACUUCAGUUUGUAGAGAUGUCUUUUUGUAGACAUUUUUUCAUGUGUGUAACUUUUAAGCGUGUCAGUUUUAUUUAUUUUCACUGCUAUAAAUACUGUGAAUGGUUAGUUUUCUUGUACGUUGUUUUAUAUGUGUGAUAAAGCAAUUGGUAUGUUUUUAGUAUGUGCUGCUUGUGUUUGAAGUUUGAAGCAUGUAUAAUUAGGGAACCUGCAAUUUUGCCUCUCCUUUCGGCUGCAAGGGGAUUGUUGAAUCACUUCCUUGAUGGCUUUGUUCUGGAGGCAUAUAUGUAAUUCAGAAUGGGAUUCAUUAAAGGGGAAUUAAUUUUUUUCUAAUUUCCCUUACUCUUUUUUCUUGGAAAUUCCUUCGUCUUUGUAAUAGUUGUUCCAUUUUCAGGUUUAUUUUACACUUGAGAUUUCUGUUACCCGAGUUAUUUUACAUGAUUAAUCAUGUCUUCUCACUAGGAAAUUUUUGUAUAGGUUACCUAGGAAUUAACUUCUAAUUUUCUCCUUGCUUGUUCAGGGUAUCAGAAACAGAGACCCAUAAAAUUGCUGCUAGAAAGGAGAAACAAAUGGAAAUGUUUAGAGCUGCACUUGGUAUAGGUACGAUUGAAGCUAGUGAACAAGGGGCUGAAGGAAGUGAUGUUGCACCAAGAAAUGGUCGAAAGAAUGCUUCCAAUGAUGACGGUAAGUGGCAUGAGAAAAGCGAACAUGCCUUUUUGGAUAGAGAGAAUGUUCGGAAGAGACAUGUGAUAGAAGAGGGGGAAAUUGUGGAGGACGAUCAGAAAAAGACUGUUAAAGAUGAGAAAAUUAAGAAGGAUGAGACCAGGCACCAUAAGGGUAAUGGCAGAAAGAGAAGACAUGGAGACGAUUCUUCUGAUUCUGAUAGCAGCAGUAAGCAUGCAAGAAGGAUACCCAAGAAGAAUCGUAAGGUUAGCCAGAGGAGUGAGAGUGAAAGUGACAGUGACAGUGAUAGUGAAAGCCCUAAGAAAAGGAGGAACUCUUCAAAGAAGCACAAGAAAAGCAGACAACAUUCUAGUGAUGGUUCAGAUAAUUCUUCUUCUGAUGACGCUGGUAGCAGUAAGUAUGCAAGAGCGAUGCCAAAGAAGAAUCGUAAGGUUAGCCUGAGUAGUGAUAGUGAAAGUGACAGUGACAGUGAUGGUGAAAGCCCUAAGAAAAGGAGGAACUCUUCGAAGAAGCACAAGAAAAGCAGAAAACAUUCUAGUGAUAGUUCAGAUUAUUCUUCUUCUGAUGACACUGGUAAGGUUAGUUCCAUGAAGGAAGUUGAGAAAUAUGGAAAAAGUCAUAGGAGACAUGAUUCGGAUGAUGGUUCUGAUUUUGAUGAAGAUUCAUCUAAGCACAGGACUCGGAAGGGGAGUAGGCAUGUGAAAGCAAGUGUACGUCAUGAUUCUGAGGAUGAUUUCGAUAAUGGUAUUGGUAUGGAAAAGGAUAAAAGUCAUCUUGAGAAAAGGGGCAAUCAGCUGGGUGGAAGCCGCAGAGGGGAGCGACAAAAUUUUGACUUAAGGUCUCACCAAAAGAGCAACUAUGAUAGUUAUGGGAAAAACAGGCAAGGCUAUGAUGUUGAUGAUGCAGAUGUGAUAAAGAGGAGAUCGAGAAGGAAUGACACUGAUGAUGACAGUGGCAAUAAAAUUGAGAAGCGCAGGAUAAGUAGGAGGCAUAAUUCUGAUAAUGAAAACUCAGAUUCCAGCUAUGGGAGGAAAAAUUAUAAAGCAUCCCUUGGAAGGCCUGAAGCGAUCAAAAAUGAGUCUCCUUUGGACAAUAACAAUAGAAAUAGGAGUGAGUCUGACAAGGGAAGUGGUGACGGAGAUUCAGACAGCAGUGCAAGUGAUUACGGACGUAAGAAAAGUGGAAAGAACCGUGUGGGUGAAAACAGAACUGGAAGUGGAAAUGGUAUGAGUGGUAGAAGUGGACGGAGUGAUCAUGGGUACAGUCCUGCUGGAAGUGACAGGAAAAGAGAAAGAAAUGGUCGGAAAGAUGACGAUAUGUUAGACGCACUGAGGAAAUUAGAGGAGCGAAGUCUGUACCAGUAUGAAAGAGAUGCUGCAGAUAUGGGAAGGUCUACCUAUGAACAUCAGGAAAUGAGGAUGGCCAAGAGGAAGUAUGAUGAGGCAAACAGGGAGGAGCGACCAGAAGCAAGGUUAAGGAGUAGUAUUGUUGGGAAGGAUGCAAUGCACGAAGGCCAUCAUGCAGAUGCAAAACCGGAGUCUGAAUUGAACGCCAGACCACGUGGGAAUGAGGAUGGUCGUAGGGGGGAUGAUGAAGAUUCCAAAGAGCAUGCAGGGUUCAGAAGGCAAAACAUGGAUGAAGAGGAGGCUAGAGGGGGAAGGCAUCGGAGAGCUGAAGAACACAAAUAUGGAAGGCACGGAAAGGAUCAUGAAGAGCUGCAGCGAGAAAGUCAAAGGCAUGGAAGAGGGGAGGAAGAAGAGCGAGGAAGUCGAAGGCAUGGGAGAGGGGAGGAAGAAGAGCGAGGAAGUCGAAGGCUUGGAAGAGGGGAGGAAGAAGAGCGGCGUAGUCGAAGGCAUGGGAGAGGGGAGGAAGAAGAGAGGCGUAGUCAAAAGCAUGGCAGAGAGGAGGGAGAAGUGCAAGAAAGUAAGGGAAAUGAGCGGGACAAACAAGCGGAUUACUCCAAGAGAGUUAGAUAUGAUGAUUCUCGGUCAAGUGAGAGAAGGAGGUAUGCGUACAAGCAUGAAGAUGAUCGGGGCAGACGUUGAGACUGAAGCAGCUAUCUGAUAUCUGCUGUAUUGCUGGUGAGUUUAUUUCUGUUGUUGGAACUUACUUUUUUAUGCUUCUAUUGACGAAAAGGUUUUAAAUUUCUUUUAGAAAGUAAAUUGAGAUUUUACAAGUUGUUUUAUCUUUGUAUGUUUAAGCCUGUAAAUUCCAAUAAUUAGCAGUCUGUUAUUAUAAGUAUAGACAGACCUAAGCUAAUGUCUCCAGUUGCCUUUAUUAUCUCACAUAAAUUUGCAAUACAUAAUGGCAUGGGAAAUUGCUUUCGUAAUGCAGAGAAAGAAAAUGGAACCUGUAUGUUAUGCUGUUAAUUGAAAGGCAUGCUAACUACACAUAAAGCUUGGGUAUUUGUGAAUUUUAGCAUCUAAGCAUCUUGGAUUUGCAUAGACAUGCCUGAAUGACUAUGAUGGUGUGGCCUCUCUAGGUGUUUUCCGUCAGCCUACCUAGACUGAUUAACUUUUGUACAAAGAAUAAAAUUGAUGGCAGGAUAGAUUCAUGGCCACAUCUGAACUUAAAUUGUUAUUUAAUUUUAUUUUGUAUGCGUCUUUUAUGAAAACAAAGAUGAAAAUGAUUAAUACAAUAAUGCCAGGCAAAAACCUAUGAUUGUUUUAUUAUGCUACUUGCUCCCUCUGAUUGCCAGUAAAUCAGUUAUUACAGGCUUGCUAGAUCAAUGCUGACAAGAUAGGCAAUCUCCAAGCUAAACCAGCUUGCUGAAGUUAUGGAAGGGGGAAGUCCUGCUACAUGAAUUGGCAGAUAUGAUUGGUGGUGUUUGUGCGGCGUUCCCUCGUACAGGUUUAUGCAUUGUGAUGGGAGUAUUUGCAAUUUUGGUCUGGAUUUGUAUUUGCUCGGUUCGUGUUCUGGAAAACAUAUAUAGUAUAGUAGUCGGUAUAUCACAGUGUUAGAAGACCAUAAUUUACCUUUUGUAUUUCCGUGAAUGAAUUAUUACUUUGUUUUUGCCGCUGACUAGAUGAUCGACCCCUGUUUAUUUUAAUGUUUUAUAUCAAGGAUUUAUUAGGAAAAUAUUUAAGUCCUACAGGCAGAAACUCUGGGGAAGAGUUUCCGUUAAAAGAAGAUUGGGGUGUGAAUUUUGGUUUUGAAAUUUGUUUACGAAAGUGUGGAGGAUAGUUAUUUUGAUUUUCAAGAAGACGAAGGGGAAAACGAAGCUGAAGGAAGAAACGCAUGAUCCUAAGCCAACGUUAUCAGUUAAUGCAGCGGAGAAAUUUGUCUAAAAGACUCUUUUGAAAUGUCUGGCAAUAAUCACAUCCAUGACUUAAAAGUUGAAAGUAAUUUUCCUUUACAAUUUGUUUGAUGAAAAUUUUAUGUUCUGCUUGCUUGCUAUUUACUAUGAUUAUAUUUUAAGGGUGUGUUGACUAUGUUAAAAUACAAUGAGUAAUUAACAAACAUGAUAUAACAAUAUUUUAAUACCGUGAGAAGUUCUAAUACCCUAGUGCCAAGCACGCCCUAAAUGUCAUAUUUGCUGAACAAUACGAUCUUUUUUAAUCCAAAAUUAGAGCUUUUAUUUCAAUAUUUAGAGCAACACCACGAAGAGGGUUGAGUUGCGCACGGUCUACAAAUCAGGAACAAGUUUAGCUACAUAAGCAUAAAAUAGCAUCGCAUACAUCCAAAAUAUAUACUAUCAAAUUACAACUGCGGUCUGGCAGGGAAGGGCUUUUAAAUAUAAUAAUUACAAGGAAGCAAUCACCAGCCAAAUGAAAAUAGACAUGCCAUAAAUGGAAGCAACCAUCAGCCAAAUGAAAAUAGAUAUUGCCAUAUUGGCGACUAAAAUGAAAACUAACAUAUUUCAAGAACUGGCUUAUGAUAUUCGCACAGUUCUCGGCUUCUUUAUGCACUGAAUCCUUUGUCGAGAGAACUCCAAGGACCAGAAGGAAUAUUUUCACAGGCUUGUGCUGAUGCUUCAGCCAUCUUCUCUUUCCCAAUUCCUGUAUUACAGAUGUUUGCAAGAGAACGCAUGUGCUUCAUUCCAUAUUGCGAUAGAGCUCCACAGUGCGACUCAAAAGUCCUCACCUGCACAGAGGAAUAGACAGAAAAGAACCUUGUUAAUGAUAUUUUAAGUGUUGUCAAGGGAUUAAAAAAUACAAGAAUUGAUGAUCAGGAAUUUUACCAGUGAUUUGAGGCAGCCCCAGUCAUCAACAAGAGGGUGACCAGCAGGUCGAACAGUGUUCAAGAUCUCUGGACCUUUCUCAAUUCCAAAUAAGAGCUUUCCAAUAAGUUUGAUGCUGUGGUCUACAUGCAUUCUAUGAGACAUUGCUUCAAAAAACUGCUUCUGAGCUUCAGCCUUCCUAGGAGUGCCCUCGGGUGCCUUGCGGUACUAUUAAAGUAACGGAUAGGCAAAGUGAGGUAUAUUCUUAAGUAGAAAGGAGAAAAUUUUCAGACAUAUACUGCAGAAAGGGUCGCUAUUUUACAAUUCAUCCCCCCCCCCCACAAAAAAAAUCUAUUUAGGGCGUUCUGACUGUUAUUUCCACAGGUAACAUAGCAGGGUAACCAAAACUUCCACAUCUCAAGCAAAUAGAAACAUACAUGUUCUAUAGGGGUUUUGUACCCAAUGGCCAAUGGACUCUGCUUAUACUGCUUUGGGUAUAAUAGAGAAAUGGCAUACCUAAAAAUGGUUCCAAAAUUCUUAAUAUCAAGCUACUACCAUGCUUUGUUACAUCACUAAUCUCUUUUCCUAAUUCCAACUUAACCAAUCAUAAGACCCUUAUACAGUUUACACCAACCUCAACAACGAGAUGACAAACUUUCAAACCCAUGUUGAACAUAGAAUUGUGAUCCAUUCCCACAUUGGGGAUUGAAAAAGUAAAUGAAUAAAAUAAGAUAGAGAGGCAGCAUUCAAUUUAAUGAGCUAUGUGCAUUGUUGGAUACAUACCUUGUCCCAGAAAUGCAAGAGAUCGGCAUCUCGCUGGUUAACAGCUUUAGAUGCUGGCCUCAAGGAGUUCUCAUCCACAAAAGUGUAGUUAUCAUUUGCAGGAUUUGUACCCAAGUACGUGAAGAGAUUGUUCUUGCUAAGACCGAUAUCACCAUAUUGCAUGACAUGAGAGCCAUACGAAUUGUAACUAGCAGUCCUUGUUUUAACCUGAAAUUUCGAAAAUCAAAAAACUGAUUUUAGCGGUUAUCAAAACAAGCAGGUAAGAGCAGGAUCUAGGAUUCUUAAAAAGCCAACUGUUACUAAUUUUAUUUGCACUGAGUUAACCAUUAUCUGUGUAUAAUGAACAUCGAUGAAGUAAUAAAGUCUCAAUGAGAUCUUACCAGUUCAUACUGCUGGUGAAGAGUUUCUGUCCGCAAGUUGUGUAUGUCACUGUGCAAAGGUCAAAAUAUUAAAAUUCACCCAAAAAAAAAAAAAAAGGCACACGCACACACUGCUUCUCUAGGAAAAAACUGCACAAAAUGAUAAAUUUUUAGAAAAGUUUUGUUCAGUAAGUUAAUAAAUCCGGUCAAACCAGUACUUUUCUUCUAUUUUCAGAGAUUACAGAAGACAGACAUAGACAUGUUGUUACUCAAGGAAACAGAAAAAUGUUGCCAAAGUGAAAUAAAUAAAAUCAUAAAUGUUGUCAUACCUGUCCUCCAUCCAAGCAAUACUAUACAAGUCACCCAAACAAGUGCUAUAUUCAGGGGGAGGACCAGGAAUCUCUCCAGGACAAUAGGUCCCCCAACUGCUCUCUUCAGCAUUUGAAGCUGUGGUUGCAUAGAUAUUUAAGCCCUCAGGAAGAAGACCCUCAAAGAUACUUCCAGAUUCACAGGCUUCGAGAUAAAAUACCUAAAUUUUUUGAUAUUGAAACCAACAAAAAUUUCAAUUUGCCAAGACUAUUAUCGAAAUAGAACACAUGUCAAAUGGCAGUUCACCAAUUACUUACCAAGCUUUUGUAGUUCCCAGAAGCAUGCUUCUUUUUUAAGACAUCGAUCAGUUCAUCAGCAUAUAUGUAUCGACUGGUGGGCAUCCCUGAAAUAGAUCACAAAACAGGUGAACUAAGAAGUCAAUUUUACAACAGAAGUUUAAAAAUAGUGUCGGUUAUAACGUAUAUAUCCACUCUGUUGAAAAAAUAAGGUAAGAUAUUUCAAGUAAAACCAAUACAGUUUUAACCUUCUGAGUAACCAAUUUUUACAUGAGUCAUGUUGGCCUAGGCUUCAAACAACAUGCAACAGCAUAACAACACAAUCAGAUUUUUAUUCCCAGUAAAAUCACAAAUAUGAAAAUAAAUAAAUAAUAAUAAUAAUAAUAAUAAUAAUAAUAAUAAUAGAAGAAUUUGUUUAUAUACAUAGCUUGCACCGCAAGUGAUGUGGCAUCUGACGUUGCAAGAUUGACACCCUAUUGAUAAAUGAUAAAAUCAAUCAAAACUUAAACAUGACCAUUAAUGAUUGGUGAUUCAUCACUUGAGAUACAAACUAUGAAUCCCGACUCAGUAAAUAUAAUAUUACCAUAAAAGAAAUGCCUUUAGUGGUUAAAGAAAAUUAUUUUGAAUCUUUAAACCAUGUGAGACGUUCUCUAACAGGGUUUUUCUAGUGACAGUCAUAUACCACCAAAACCGGUUUGAUUUGGGCCAAAAGAAAAAAAGAUAAUCCAAUUCUAUGGUGUCUAUUUUCUAAAAAUCACUUCAGAAUCAAAAUCAAGUUUUAUGACACACGCUGAACUAAAACCAGAAAUUGACCAUAAGAUGGAAGAAAUCCAAGCCCAAGGACCACCACCAUCUAAUUCGGGUAACUACAGCCACUAUUCAAACAGCACAAAAAAAACACAUACAAUAUAAGACAGAGUGGGGAACUUAUGAAGAAUCGUGGCUACUAACCUAGCACCCCAGGGCCACCAUGAUCUGAGUAGAAUAUGAAAAUAUGAUCAUUGGGGCCGCUAUCCACAACCUUCCCACUGCCCCCUGUAAGAGCUGUUUUAUUUCCCAGGAUAACAGCAAAAAAGUUUUCAACAGUAACAUCUUCCCCCGUGUAAUCCUGCCACAUGAAAGAAGAAACCAUGAAUAAAAUAAUAGUAGUAGUAGUAAUAAAGAACUUUAUCACAUAUUCGGAUGGUUGAUCUUUGAUGCAAUAGUGAGAAUAGGAAUACAAGCUCCUAUACAACUCUACCCAUACGAACGGAUGUGACAUUAUUAUAUCACUAUCAUAUGUUCCCCAUUAUUUAUUUGCUUUUAUUUCUUUGAAAAAUUGCCACAACAUGUUAUAUGAGUAGAGUUUGUAGAGGAUUAUGUAAACCUAGAAUUACUCUUGAGGUAAAGAGACCUUUGGAACUCCUUUGUAAACAUCAUCGCCAUGGGGGUGGUUAAUGAUGACUCCAGGCCUUGGGUUCUCUUCAUUGAAAGCGAUGUCAUCAUACAUGAAAACAAUAAUAUUUUCAUCCUUCAGCCCACCUUUCCUCAAGAGUUGAUAAGCAUGACAAAUAUCAGCCUGAAAUAGAAAUAAAAUAAAAUAAAUACAAAAAAAUGAUUUAUGAAGCUCUACACAGAAUAUGAUUAUGACAUCAAUAGACAGUAUAAUAUGCUGAAAUUCAUAAUUAGAAAGCAUGUAUGUGUGCGUGUAUAUAUAGAGAGGGAGUCCUUCUUUGUUGAGGACAUCCUCACUUUAACAAAAUAAGAUAUCACUAAAAUACGAAAAAACACAUAUUUCAAUCUAUUAGUAUAUUGAAAUUUUUAUUUUUAUUUUUUGUCUUUUGCUGGCAUUCUCACCUUAACAAAGUAAGAAUGCCCUCUCUCUAUAUAUAUAUGAAAAGUGGACUUGAUAGGAAAUCAAAUCGCCUAACAGCAAUAUUUACAUCAAGCCGCUUACACAAAAGGUGCAAAUACAGUUAUCCACUUAUUUAAAGUAAGAAAUCUUUCCUCUGAUUCAUACAAUCGUUGACAGUGUACACAAACAAUUGUCACUCACGGGCAAAUCAUAAAAGUUUCACUUGAGAUGAUGAACAAAUAAAUGAAAGUAAAAUAUAUAUAUAUAUAUAUAUAUGUUUUUCAAACAAAUAACCAAAAAAUUUUAUUGGGGAAAACCUUUAACCAGACUGAUACAAUUAAGAAAUAUGUCAAGCUAUGUGAUAGUUUGUUUGUUUGUUUAUUAUUAUUAUUAUUAUUAAUUUUUUUUAAGAGAUAGUGCUUAAGUUGAUCCACAAACAAACUGGAAAUUUGGUUUUUAAAAAAAAAAAAAAGCCGAAAACAUGAAAUGAAUUUCACAUUCUUUCUUUUGUCUGAUUGUCUCGGCUUACUUGCUGCUUACGUAAAUUAAACAGUUACGCGCAAAAUGAGAUUCUCAAUAUUCAGACAUAAUUUAUGGCGAGCUUUUUAAAUACAAGCAUCAAAGAAAACCUUAACCUUACUUCACUUUCUGAAAAAAAAGAAAAAAGAAAAAGAAAAAAAAUUUACAAAAAUAAAAUAAACUUUCAUUAUAAUAUUUACGAAAAGAAUAAAACUUGGUAAUUCCAAGGAAUUUAUUAAAAUAAAACGUGAUUUCAAAAAAUAAAAUUCAGAUAGCAGACCUGAUGCCUGUAAUUCCAGAAGCCAUUAGAUCCGGCAAGCAGGACGGCCCAUCUCGUGCCGACAGAAUCAUCAUCAUCGUUGACCUUUGCCCCUCCCCCACCAUUAUGGAAGAACCUAUAGGCUUCCGAUGGUAGCUUCAGAAUAUCACCUGCUAUGUCUCUGCUUCCAUCGGCGAUUCCUGCAAGAGCGACUAGGAGCGUGAUUAACACGCCGGUGGCAAGGCGCGUCAUGGUUUUUCGAAGGGGGUUGAUUGGUUGCUGGAGCUAGUUAUGGAAAUGUUGUUGUGGGGAAGAGCUCUGUUAUUUAUAAUACCGAGUGAUGUACUGCUGACAAUAUAUUUUUUCUUUUGUUAUUUUAUUUUAAACGGGAAAAUAUUAAUAAGGGGUAAAAAUGUUUUAAUUUAUUUCAAUUCGGUAAAAUAAUUUAUAAAAUUCUUAAUCAAUACCCUAUUUAUUACAAAAUUACCAACUUAGUUGGUUAAAAGUUAAAACUAACGAUUAGGACAGAAUCAUUUGUUUAAUAAUUAUACUUGGAAGUUAGAAAUCUUAAGACUAUAUUAUAUUGAUCAUAUUUUAAUUUUUAUUAGUUAUAAUUAAAAUUAAGUUGAUUAUACUUUAUGCAGCAUUAUAAAUAUUCUAAAAUAUUUAUUAAAAUCAUGUUAAAUGGGUAUUUAUUAAAAAUAUCAAAAAACUAUAUUAAAUAAAUAAUGUAAAUAAUAGAUGAGUCGACUUAGCGUAUGAGAUUCUUGAUUAGAUUUAUAUGCUAUUCUUUAUGAGCUCAAAUAUAAUAUAUCAACUCUCAUUUCACUACUUAUUAAAGAUAAUAAAUUAUUUUGUUAUAUUAAUUUUUCAGACUGCUCAAACUCUUAAUUUAAAUUAAAUACAUCAAAACGUUUGGGCUCGCGUUGAUUUUACGUUUGAGCGUUUACUUUAUUCUAAUUCUGCAUUUGAGAAAUUGAGAAUUUUAGAUAGUGUAAAGCGAGUGAGGUUGCAGAUGGCACGUACACGUCAGCAUAAGUGAGGAUAAUUUUCUUAUGGACGGUCCAGAUGCAACCGAUCUUCCAACAAAAGUUGAUGUCAGCUGCACCAGGCAUCUCAGCCGUACGUCAGCAUUGAUGAAAGAAAGAUCCAUGCGGUUCGUGCCGUGAAUUGUGGAAGUAUGAAGUGCAGGGGGAUGCGGGGGUAAUUUAGCAUGACUGCGGUUGCGUCCCUUUCGAGGUUGGAUAAACGGGCGAUAUAACGUGGGGUCACUUAGCCGCCCCGGCAGUCGUUAGGUAAUGUUGUUGUAUUGGCUGCUUUCGUCUGCUUUUCAUCCCGUCAAACGAAGAGAGUUUCGGCCCAUCACGUCUUUGUUCCUUUCCCAGAAAAAAAUAAAAAUGAUUCAUUUUCCUGGAAAACACACCCGACCGUAUUACACGGAACACAAAAUUAGUGUAAACGACUAUUUACUUUUGUUAUUAUUGUAAAAUUCGAAAAUCUUUUGAUAACUAAUAAGAGGAUCCUUUUAACAUAAUGUAUGUUACACUACUCACAUGAACAAUGAGUGGUGUGAGUGGCUGUAACAUACAUUAAAUGUAUGUUAAGGUUUAUCCUAAUAAAAGGGUGUAUAAAAUGAAAUUCGUGAGAAUAUGAUGAACUGCAAACGGAAUUUACGUAUAUAAUACGCAUGUAGACAAUAGACUUAUCAUGUACCUUGUAAAUAAAAUAUGAAAGACACAAUCUUUUUUUUUUAAGUAUAAGACAUUUUAUUUUUUAUAAGUCAUUGUUGAGUUCAAUAACUUAAUUUAUAAAUGUGUUACCUCUCUCUUUUUUUCCACAUUUGAUAAUAACUAUAUAUAUAUAUAUAUAUAUAUAUAUAUAUUGUUUCGUCCUUUGAUUUUCUUGAAUAUUACAUUAAUUUUAUUAUUCUUAUUAUUAAACGGAUAUUGGCCUUGAUUAGCACAAUAAUAAUGAAUGUAACCCAUAAAUUGGCUUGAAAUUACAUAAAUCUCAUAGAAAUAAAUUUGGAGAAAUCUACUCUACCUAACUCUCGAGUUUUCUAAAGCAUAAAAACACUCUUUGUGAUAUUUUUAAUAAUUUCUUUUAUUAAAUUAUAAAAAAUUAUAAGCCGGGGAACAGAGAUAAGAAUCGCUCAAUCAAACGAAUCUAAAAUUAUUGAAUGGUUAAGCACACGCGUAUGUCCUAUCAUCUCAUUUUUUUUUCUAACCAAAACUUGGAAUAAAUGUCAAGCGAGAGAUACUUUUUCAACUUGGCCUCUUUGUUGUGAGAAUGACUUCGAUGGGAAUCUUUUGGAAUCGUGCACAUAAAGAUAACGCGACCAUGGGCCACGGCCUAUGGCCCUUGCCGAUUCAUCAGAAUUCAGUUGGAAUCAAUUUAAAUCAUUCAUGUAAGACAAAACAGAAUCGGCAGUAAACAGCGAGCGAUGAUGCCCAUUUGGUUAAGGAAUCCUUCCCCUGCUUGCACACUUCAACUACCUCUUGUCCCCCUUUUUUACCUUUGAUUUUGAAAUUCUUUACCAGUAUCAUGAAUUGAAUUAAUAAAAAAAUUACCAAUUGAUGAAUUAUUCAAUAAAAUUUUUAGUAGGACGGACGUUAAAUAUCUAGUCAAAUUCAUUAAGGCUCCGUUUGAAAUUGAGGUAUUGUACAUUUUAAGCUACAGUUGCUGUAGAAAAAAAGUUGUAACUAUCACACAAAAAUUAAUAAUAUAUAGUAAAUAUAAAUUUUGAUAAAUUUAUUAAAGAUAUAAUAGAAAUUACAAGCUAAGUAGUUAGUGUUUACCAAACACUUUAGCACUGUAAUUUUUAAACAACAGCUGCUCAACAUCAAUCCCAAACACACCAUAAAAUUAAUUCAAAUGCAUUGAAUUAUUCUAUUCAAUGAUAUCAUAUGAUAAUAGUAAGGGUUUCCAUUUUGAACCUGUCCAUAAAUCACACCAAUUGUUAGAAUUCACUCUCACAAAUUUGAACCUGCCCAUAAUAUAUACCCACGAUUUGCUUAUACUAAUUGAGAUUUAAGUUUCCUACCCGAGUGAUAUUUAGACUGUAAAAAAUAUCCAUGCCUUAAGCGCAAUACUGUUCAAUAAAAAAUAAAAAUUAAAAAUCAAUCUUGCUUGAGAAUCACCUUGUAGCCCUCGGUCCAAAUAUAUAUAGAUAGAUAACAGUAGAUUUGACCAUUGUGGAUUCCAAAUAUUUCCCAUGAUAAAGUUUUCCACAUUGGUUGGUUUCAUUUCAAGUCCUCUUUCACAGAAAUCAACAUCAUCUAUCUUUCGGUUUUGGGCCACCGAAAGCAGCGCACACGAUCACCUAGGUUGCCACUUGCCAGUAAGGACACGUACAGGUUAUUAAUAAGCCUCGAAACACAGUGACAAGCCAUGUGAUGUUCAAUUUCGGACUAUUGCGUAGUUUACGUACGAUUUUUAUCUUUCUUUUUUUCUUUUUUUCUUUUUUUAAUGAUCGAUUACCAUACUAUAAAUAUUACAAUUUAAAAACUUAUUCAGAAUUUAAGUAGAUAUACGUGUAGUGCAGCAUAAAAGGUUACUCAAAUUUAUUGUGGCAUCGACUGGCUAACCUAACCUUCCCUUCCGCGCGGAACAUGAAUCUGCUUGUGACCUCUAACUUUUCACGGAGAGACGAGCCCACCACUACCGCCAGUGCCUGAGUGGCGUGUCCUGCGGAAUUAUUGGAGGAAGUGAAAGAGGAGCCGUGCUUCAACGCAACAAUUUUAGUUUCAUUUCAAAAGAUUCUGAAUUUCGGCCUGGGUCCCGGGAAGAUGCAUUUGCUGUUUUAUCAGAUGAUUGUUGUUUUUUAUAAUAAUUGAGAAGAGGAAAAAAAAAAAGACACAAAGCAGUCAUAAUUAGCAGCCGCAGCCCGCAGCCUGGGGUGUUUUCGUUUUCAAGCUCACGGGAAAUCAACCUCGCAGCCUCGUAGGCAUUUUGUAAACGCUGAAAAUAAUUGCAAUCGGGCAGCGGCCACUGUCAUGCUGCUAUUGGCCACUUGCCACGCACAGCAAUUCUGACGCACUAAAGAUAAUGAAAGUCAUUGUAGUUGUCAGUUUCAUGAUGUAGUGGCAUAGAAUAAUUGAGCCCCCAGGAGCAGGAAUCCAACCUGAAUCUCUAAUGUCAGAUUCAAGAAUUUAACAUUAUUUAAUAGCAAGAAUCGUGGGAGAUCCACCCACUUUUCUUUUCUAAAGAUAUUUAUUUAUUCGUUCUUAACAUUUUUCGCUUGUAUUUACUUUGUGCCUUUAUCCUAUCUAUCGUCGUCCGCUUGAAAUCUGUGGCUGUCUGUGUACUGACGCUUGCAUGAUACGAAAGAGUGGAGCUUUUACAUCACUCUAAAACCCUUACAACAACGAUUUUUAUUUUUAUAAUUUUAUUCCUAAAAUACCACUGGUUUGAUUGAUAAAAUAUAUACCUGUAAAUUAAAAUUAACAUUUUGCUAUAAAAUAUUACCUUAGAAAAGGAUCUUUCUUUUUAUGUUUUCAUUUUAUAAUUUUUUUAAAAUAUAUAAUUUAAAAUUAUUUUAAUUUUAUUAUAUAGUUUUUUUUCUCCAUAACUCUGAACUCUUAUAAGUUUUUUUUUUAAAAAAAACUUUUAUUAAAAUAUAGAAAUAUAAAUAUAAUUUAUGAAAGAGGACGGGUGUAAAAAUUUAGUUAAAAGAAGAAUUUUUCUUUCCAAAAAAAAAUUAAUUUAAUUUUAGUUAUUUAAAUCAUUUCGAUAGAGAAAAAAAGGGUUUUAUAAAAAAUUUAAAGGGGGUGUUAAAACUCAAAAGAGCUAUUCCAAUAGGAAAUUGACACCCUUUUGAUCCUUGAGUUUGAGGCCGUAGUGCAAGCUCAUUUUUUCUUAUCCAAAUAUUUAGCCUCCACUUUUAUUAUUCUGGAUUUUCUUAAUUAUAAUAUCAGAGUGCUUAAUUUGAGAUAAAAUUGAAUCUAUUUUACACCAAGUUUAUACCCAAUUUUAAUAAACUAUAUAUAUUAUAGCAAAUGGGGUCUAAAAGAAACUGGUAAUUACUUGGGUUGGUUGUCUCACGUCUGUUUCUGGUCCAGCCCAAGUUUUAAGCCGAAGCUUGGAUUUUUUAUUAAUUGGGUUGGCUAAACCGAAACGAGCCCAGGGAUAUCCUCAUGAGUUGGACUAUUGGCACCCCUCCAUAAUCCUUUUCAAACCCUCUUUUAUUACAAUCGUAUUUCAAGACAAACACUUUAAUAUAUCUCACAUCUAUUUUAUCUCACUUUAAAUUUUUGUAUUUUCUCUCUUAAAAAAAAAACUUUUAUAUUUUCUCUUCUAUCACACUCACACAUGUAAUUUUUUUCUCAAAUUCUCUAUAAAUUUUUCUUCAAUUAAUAAGACAAUUUAUUGCUAAUAAACAAAACACAUUUUGAUAAAAUUAUCUUACCUUUUUUAGGCUCGUACUAAAACUUUUUACAUCAUAAUCUUAGAGAUAAUUUAUUUAAUUCAUUAAUUUUUGUCAAGAAUUUUAUCACCGAUAAAAAUUAUUUGUGAGGAGCGAGAAAAAAAUAAAAAAUUAAAAGAUUCACAAAUUAAAUGUAUUUAUUUAGAAAUAAGGGUAAUUUUGGCAAUAAGUUUAGUAUAGCUGAAAAAGGGGUUUUAAAAGAAUUUUGGAGGAGUGCCAAUACUCUAAUGCCACGUCUACUUGCCGGAUUCAGGAAUGGGAAUCCGGAAUCAGAAUCAUUCCCGCGCUUACUUGCUAAAAUAAGGAGCAGAAUCAUACUCAUUUUCGUGGAUCCCACAACAAUUUGGGAAUCAAAUAUGGGAGUCUAAUUCCCAAGGGGGGGGCUUGGGAAUUAGACUCCCAUUCCCUACAUUUCCCAUUCUACCCACAUUAAUUUUAUAUUAUUCCAGAAAUACCCUCACUCUAGAUAAAAAAAUAUAAAAAGUGAAAAAUUAAAAAAAAAAACAAAAAAAAUCCCUAAAACCUAAACUCUCUCACCCAUGCCUCCCAAUUGAAUGCCAUCGGAGCUGCUUCCAUCACCAUCGCAGCCAUCACCGUCUUUGUUGUCAUGGUUCGUUGGCUGUGGACAGCUGCUCGUUGCCAGUUUCAUCUCCAUUGGGCCGCGUCGAUUUCCCCCCAUCUCAUUUCAUCUCCAAUUUCGUUUUUAAUGGCGACGAUUCUGAUCUGAUGCUGCUGCUACUGCUAACGACGAUGAUUGUCGUUGCCGUUGUUGUUGAUGACGAUGACAAUUGAGAUUUUGACUGUUGUUUUUUUUUUUUUUUUGGGAAAUAGAUUAUUUUUGUUGAUGAUGAUUAUUUGGGAAAUAGAUUAAUUUGAUGAUGAUGAUUAUUAUUAUUAUUAUGGAAAUGGAUUAUUUUGUUGAUGAUGAUGAAUCUGAUUAUGAUUAUUAUUAUUUUUUGAAAUGAAUUAUUAUUUUGUUGAUGAUGAUAUUUUUUAUUUUGAUUAUUGUUAUUAAUUUUAUUAUUAUUAUUAUUAUUAUUAAUGAUAAAUUAUAAUUAAUUAAUAAACUAACAAUAUAUUGUUGACAUAAAUUAUUCCUUAUUGAUUUUGAUGAUAACAAACAUGAUUAAUAUUGAUUAAUCGUUUUAAAAGCUCAACAUAAUUUUCAUCUAUUUUGACAAGUUUCAUAAAGUAUUUUUAUAAAAAUUUGGAGACAAAACAGUCAUCUUGCAAAAUAGUUCACUGCAGCAGUUUUUGUGGAAAACGGCGAUCCGACAUCUGUAGUAAACGGCUCGCCGAUUUCAAGCAGAAAUAGAGAUUAGCCUCUGGACGAAAACGGCACACCGACAUUUGUGAUAAACGGCUCACCGAUAUCAACCAGUAGCCUCUGGACCUAAACGGCGAUCCGAUAUGUUGAUAAAACGGCUCGCCGAUAUCAACCAGAACUGAAGGGUAGUCUCUGGACUUUAACGGCGAACCGACAUGUGUGAUAAACGGCUCGCCGAUAUCAACCAGUAGCCUCUGGACCUAAACGGCGAUCCGACAUCUAGAUAACGGCGAUCCGACAAUUUGAAAAAUCAGCCCAACGGUCAUAUUGACCAGUCAAACGGCGAUCCGACAUCUAGCUAACGGUGAUCCGACAGUGUGCAGAAAGUCAAUAACGGCUAGUUUUCAGCUGCAACUAUAAAUAAGCUCAUUCAAAUCCAAACAAAGAUUGAUCACAACACGACCAUUGAGCAAAUAUUUGAGAAUACAAUCUUCAUAGAGCUUAAAACACAUUCUCUCUUCAUCUAUUCACAAAUUGGGCAUUGAUUUGUAAUCUUAAAUAUUGUGUGAGAGAAAAACAAUUUGUAAUCUUUUACUUUGAGUAAUUGUAAGUGUUGGGAUACACUUGGGUUAAGAGAUUGGGGAUAAUCUCUUGUUGUAAAGGUCCAUUGACACCUUGGAAGUCAAGUGUAAGCAUUUGAAGCCUUGGAGGCUUGCUUAGUGGAAUCCUCAAGCCCGGAAAGCUUGGAGGCGUGGACGUAGGCAAGGUUGGCCGAACCACGUAAAAAUCUCGGUGUUUGAAUCCCUCUUCCCUUAUCUUUUUAUAUUGUGAUCAUCUUAAUUGUUAUUGCUUUGAAUUUGAUUUAUAAUUGCAUUAAGUUUUUCUUUAAUAAAUUAAAUAUUUUUUAGAAUCCCAAUUCACCCCCCCUCUUGGGUUGCAUACUUGUAUUUCAAUUGGUAUCAGAGCCUUGUUCUCUUGUUAAGACUUAAUCGUCUAGAGUAAAAGAUCCAUGGCAACCCUAAAUGACUCAACCUUUAGAGAAGGGCAAUCCACAACUAGACCACCUUUUUUUUGAUGGUAAUGAUUAUGCUUAUUGGAAAACUAGAAUGAGAAUCUAUUUGCAAGCCUUAGAUUAUGAAAUUUGGGAAGUUGUUUGUGAUGGUCCAUUCAUGCCUACGUUCAAAGAUGAAGUAGGAGAUGAUAUUCCUAAACCAUCGAGUCAAUGGAGUGAGUUAGAAAAGAGAAAGAUGUCUCUAAACUCCAAGGCUAUGAAUGCUUUGUUUUGUGCCCUUGAUAAGAAAGAAUUCCAUAGAGUAUCUAGUUGUGAAAGUGCACAAGAGAUAUGGAACAAACUUGAAGUUGUCUAUGAAGGGACAAAUCAAGUGAAAGAGUCUAAAAUCAGUAGAUACACUCGCCAAUAUGAGUUGUUCCAAAUGGAACAGAAUGAAAAUGUGUAUUCUAUGUACACUAGAUUCACGGACAUAGUGAACACCCUAGGUGCCUUAGGGAAAACCUUCUCAAAUAGUGAGAAAGUUAAGAAAAUCAUUAGGUCACUUCCAAAAGAAUGGAGACCUAAAAGAACCGCUAUUGAAGAGGCCAAAGAUUUAAAUAUUUUACCUCUUGAUGAUUUAAUUGGUUCUCUUAUUUCGUAUGAAGAGGAUUUAGCUGCAGAAAAAGGACAUGAGGAGAAGAAGAAAAGCAUUGCUCUCAAAGCUUCAAAAUAUGAGAGUGAUGAGGAGAGUGAACCGGAUGAUGAAGAACUAGCCAUGCUAGCAAGGAGGUUCAGAAAAUUCUUCAAGAAAACCGGAGAGCGAAGAAAUUUCAGAAACUUCAAGAACUAUAGAGAGAAGAAGGAGGCAAUCACUUGCUAUGAAUGCAAGAAGCCUGGACAUAUAAGAUCGGAGUGCCCACUUAUCAACAAACUCAAGAAGAAAGCAAUGGUUGCAACUUGGGAUGAUAGUGAGGAAGAAUCAAAUGAUGAAGAAGGAUCGCAAGAAGUAUCAAACCUAGCACUCAUGGCAAUAGGAGGGGAUGAUGAUCUCAAUGAGGUAAGUGAUCCUACCUAUGAUGAAUUAUAUGAUGCUUUUCAAGAUUUGCAUAAUGAGUUGAUGAAAAUUGGUAAAAAGAAUGUAUGUCUUAAAAAGGAAAUGGCAAAGCUUAAAAAUGAAAAUGAAUCUCUAAAUGCAAGAAUUGUAUGCCUAGAAGUAGGAAACAAAACAUUGCAUGAUGAAAUUGCAUUAUCAAAUGAGAAAUCUAGCAUCUUACAUGAGCAUUUGAAAUCACACAUAGAUGAGUUGAAAAAUGAGAACGAAUUGCUCAAGAAAAAGAAUAAUGAAUUAAAUGAAAUUGUUUUGAAAUUUACAAAUGGGCAAAAGAUGUUGGAUAAUAUGCUUAACUCACAAAAAUGUGUUUUUGAUAAAGGAGGACUUGGAUAUAAGCCAAACUUGAAGCAAAAGUAUUAUAAGAAUUAUUUUGUUAAAGCUACCUCCACAAAUGAUCAUAAGAUUGUAUGUCAUUAUUGUAAUCAAAAUGGUCACAUGAAAUUUAGAUGUCCCGUGAAAAGGAAUGCAUAUUAUGGUGUCAAGUGCAUUUGGGUUCCAAAAGGAACCGUUGCUAACUCUCAAGGACCCAAAAAGCUUUGGGUACCUAAAACUUGAGACUUUUUCUUGUAGGGCUUGAAGAAGAAGAAGAAUAAAUGGUACUUGGACAGCGGUUGUUCAAGGCACAUGACCGGAAACUAUGCAUGGUUCUCAAGCUUUACCAAAAUUGAAAAUGGUGGAGACGUAUCCUUUGGAGACAACUCAAAAGGAAAAAUCCUUGGAAUUGGAAAUGUUGGUAAAGUUUCUUCAACUCUAAUUGAGAAUGUAUGUUUGGUUGAAAACUUGAAACACAACUUAAUUAGCAUUAGUCAAUUAUGUGACAAAGGUUAUAAAGUUAUCUUUGAUAAAUUUAGUUGUGUUAUUGAGAACUCAUGUGAUGGCAAAACCUUAUUUGUUGGAAAUAGAUGUGGUAAUGUUUAUAUCAUUGACAUAGAAUGUGCAUCUACUCUUGAUAAAUGUUUUUCGGCAUUGCAUGAUGAUUGUUGGUUAUGGCAUAGAAGGUUAGGACAUGCAAGUAUGGAUUUGAUUUCAAAAAUUUCGAAAGAUAAUUUAGUUAAAGGUCUUCCGAAAAUUGGUUUUCAAAAGGAUAAGAUUUGUGAAGCUUGUCAAUUUGGAAAACAAAUUAAAACUUCUUUCAAGAAUAAAAACCAUAUUUCUACUUCAAAACCACUUGAACUUCUUCACAUAGAUCUUUUUGGGCCAUCUAGAUAUGCAAGUCUAAAUGGCAAAUAUUAUGCAUUUGUGAUAGUGGAUGAUUAUUCUAGAUAUACAUGGGUAUUAUUCUUAGCCAAUAAGGAUGAUGCUCUUGAUGCUUUUAAAGUGCUUUGUAAGAAAUUACAAAAUGAAAAAGGGCAUGGUAUUGUAUGCAUUAGGAGUGAUCAUGGAGGAGAAUUUGAAAAUCAUGCAUUUGAGUGUUUUUGCAAUAAUCUAGGCAUUGAGCAUCAAUUUUCAUCACCUAGAACUCCACAACAAAAUGGAGUUGUUGAGAGAAAGAAUAGGUCUAUUCAAGAAAUGGCUAGAACCAUGUUAAAUGAAAAUGCAUUACCAAAAUAUUUUUGGGCCGAAGCCGUCAACACCGCUUGUUAUGUUUUAAAUCGGGUGUUGAUUAGACCUAAUCUUAACAAAACUCCUUAUGAGCUUUGGAAAGAUAGAAAACCCAACAUUGGAUAUUUUAAAGUUUUUGGAUGCAAAUGUUUUGUUUUGAACACAAAAGACAAUCUUGGUAAAUUUGAUCCAAAAUCCGAUGUUGGUAUUUUUCUUGGUUAUUCAAAUUCAAGUAAAGCUUAUAGAGUCUAUAACAAAAGAACCUUAGUUGUGGAAGAAUCUAUGCAUGUGACAUUUGAUGAGUCUAACCCCUCCUCUACGGAGAAAGUCGUUGUUGAUGAUGAUGCAGGAGAAGAAGAACAAGAAGAAGAAGCAUCAAAUGACAAACAAGAGGAUGCACCACAUGAAAUUCAAGAGGAACAUCAUGAAGAACUAAAUGCGGAGCAAAAUGAAGGUACUUCUCAAACACUCCCCAAGGAGUGGAGGUAUGUCUCUUCUCACCCUAAAGAUGUAAUUUUAGGAGAUCCCUCACGAGGUAUUACAACUAGAUCAUCACUUAGAAAUACUUGUGAGCAUAAUGCAUUCAUCUCUCAAAUUGAACCAAAAUCCUUUGAGGAUGCAGAAAAUGAUGAAUCUUGGAUUAUGGCAAUGCAAGAGGAGUUAAAUCAAUUUGAAAGAAACAAUGUGUGGGAAUUAGUUCCUAAACCUGAACAUCAAUCUAUAAUAGGUACUAAAUGGGUGUUUAGGAAUAAGAUGGAUGAAUCCGGUGUGGUUGUAAGAAAUAAAGCUAGAUUAGUGGCUCAAGGCUACAACCAAGAAGAAGGAAUUGAUUUCGAUGAAACCUUUGCUCCUGUAGCAAGGUUAGAAUCCAUUAGAAUGUUGUUAGCAUAUGCAUGUCAUAAAGAUUUUAUUUUAUUUCAAAUGGAUGUGAAAAGUGCUUUCCUAAAUGGAUAUAUUAUGGAAGAAGUGUAUGUAAAACAACCCCCUGGUUUUGAAAAUGAAAAAUUUCCAAAUCAUGUUUAUAAGUUGUUUAAAGCUUUGUAUGGUUUAAAACAAGCACCUAGAGCAUGGUAUGAUAGACUUAAGAAUUUUCUGUUGGAAAAUGACUUUUCAAUGGGUAAAGCGGAUACUACUCUAUUUGUUAAGCAUAAGAACCAAGACAUACUUAUUGUUCAAAUUUAUGUUGAUGAUAUUAUUUUUGGUUCUACUAAUGAGUUGUUGUGUAAAGAAUUUUCAUCAUGUAUGAGCAAAGAAUUUGAGAUGAGUAUGAUGGGAGAGUUGAAAUACUUCCUUGGACUUCAAAUCAAACAAAACGAGGAAGGAAUUUUCAUAAAUCAAGCCAAGUACGUAAAGGAUCUACUCAAACGAUUCGGCAUUGAUGAUUCAAAGACCAAGAAUACACCAAUGAGCACAACAACCAAGCUGGACAAAGAUGAAAAAGGUAAAGAAGUGGACAUCAAAAUGUAUCGAGGUAUGAUCGGAUCCCUACUUUAUUUGACUGCAAGUAGACCCGAUAUCAUGUUUAGUGUAUGUUUGUGUGCUAGAUUUCAGUCAUGUCCCAAGGAAUCUCAUUUGCUCGCUGUUAAAAGAAUUUUCCGUUAUUUGAGUGGAACCAUAGAUAUUGGCCUUUGGUAUCCUAUGGGAACUCAUAUAGAUUUAACAUGUUUUUCGGAUGCGGAUUUUGCUGGUUAUAAAGUGGAUAGGAAGAGCACUAGUGGAACUUGCUAUAUUCUAGGACACUCUCUUGUUUCAUGGUUUAGCAAGAAACAAAAUUCUGUCGCACUUUCAACUACCGAGGCUGAAUAUAUAGCUGCCGGAAGUUGUUGUGCACAAGCUCUUUGGAUGAAACAAACACUUAGAGAUUAUGGCAUUAAUCUUGAACAAAUUCCUAUUAAGUGUGAUAAUACUAGUGCUAUUAAUCUUUCAAAGAAUCCCAUUCAACACUCUCGAACCAAGCAUAUAGAAAUAAGACAUCAUUUCUUGAGAGAUCAUGUUCAAAAGAGAGACAUUGCACUAGAGUUUAUUUCUACGGAAAAACAACUUGCCGAUAUUUUUACAAAACCUCUUUGCGAAGAACAAUUCUCCAAAAUUCGGCAUGAACUUGGGAUGAUGAAAUUUUCACAUUAACAUCUUCAUUCAUGCUAUUGAGUCUAUUAUUAUUGAUUGAUCUAUGACUUGAUGCUUUAAUUUCUAUGGAAUGCUCAAUCGUAAUAUGCAUGUAAUGUGUAUGUAUAUUUGAAAAUGUAUGAAUUAAUUAUUGCAAUACAUAUAUAUAUAUUCAUGAAUUAUGCAUUGAAAUGGCACUCAAAUCAUUUUGGAUCAAUAAAAUGAUCUUGAAAUGUAUUAAUAAGUAGCCAAAUAUCGAAAUACAUGUGCGAAAUCAUAGGUUGUAGAAAACGGAUCGCCGUUAUUUAAAUAAACGGCUAACCGUUUUGGGCAGAAACAAUGGAACGCUUUCUGGAAGCUAUCGGUUCGCCGAUAUAUGUCUAUCGGCUCGCCGUCCUGUUACAUUUUUCUUGUGUGGACUCUCUGGACCCUAUCGGCUCGCCGUUAUUUAUAUAAACGGCUCGCCGUUUUUUUAUGAAUUUGUUUUGAGGACUCUCUGGAAUCUGUCGGCUCGCCGUUUGCUUUAUAACGGCUCGCCGUUUUCUUUAUAACGGCUCGCCGUUAUCACGCGUUAAUUGAACAGUCCUUCGCCUUCCUCCUCAUUUCGGCUUCUCUUUCUCUCUCUCUCUCACCUCAACCCGCGACUGCACCAGUUCUCUCCUCUCAAAUCCAUCACUUUUCUUGUCAUUUUUCACCAAAUUGAAGCAUUACAAACCAUUUCUAUCAUUUCUAACACCUUUUAACCGAUUCAAAUCCUUCUCUUUCUUCAAAUUUUGAAAAAUCUCAUCUUGAAACCCUAGAACCAGCCGACUCUCAUUCGUUCACUUUGACCCAAAUUUCUUCGUCUUUCCAACCACAUUUUCACCCACAAUCACUAUCUCAUCUCUAAAACUUCAUUUUCACAAUUUUUCUCUUCCAUGGCGGAACGACCUCCAAGGCGUGUUCGAACCAAGCACACUGCUUCACGCCGUUCCAGUCCACCCAGGUCUCCUCCUCAAGACUUCGAAAGUCUUCAUUUUCCCGAUGCUACCUCUGCUCAGCGUUUCCGUGAGAAGUUCAUGGGUAAACCCGUAACUCCCUCUUUUUCUCUUAACACUUCGGAAUUCUCGGAUAUUUCUGUUUGUGGUCACUCAAUUACUCAAAUGCUUAGUCAUUGGAAACAAGCUUUAAGUGUUGAUGAACCUAUUUAUGAAAAUCUUGUUCGAGUCUUUUAUUCAAACAUCGAUUUCUCCUCUUCUAGUCGUGACGAGCUUCAUACAUUUGUAGGAGGUAUUCGUAUUGAACUUGAUGAACCCGAAUUAUGUAGUAUUCUAGGAAUCGCUUAUGGAGGAUUAGAUCUGUACACCUCUAGGAAAGAACUAGAGUUUAGUAAUUUUCGUCAUGUGGAUGGUGUACGAACAUUUGUCGUCGUCGGGAUCUUUCCGAUGACAUCUGCUCUUUGUCCUUUAGUCUCAACUCCUCCCUUUUCAGAUUCGAAUACUUCACAUUAUUCUCCAACACAUGGUCACUCCUAGGCAGGGUCACACUGAUGAGGUCACUAGGCUUGAUAUUGGUCUUUUAGACUCUCUCAUCCGUAGACGCCAUGUGAGCCUAUCCUACACCAUUAUGUGUCAUAUGCUGACCACUCCUAAAGUCUCCAACCGAUCCCUUCCUUAUGGCAGCAUCAUUACUAAAAAUCUUGAACCACUUUCAUGUUCCU
rnacentral:lncRNA from 1 species